rnacentral:sRNA from 1 species
GACGCUUCUGGUUCCAGGCCGCCCUCCGGAUCGGACCCUGCGAAUGGUUUUGGCUAUAUCUUCAUGUAGGACUUACUCCCUAUCCCGUGGGCCGCGGCUGGGCUUCAUCACCAGGCCUCCUCACAGAUUCCUGUCCGUUCUGUGUCCUGGACUCCGGAUACCUCAACUCUCAGUACUUUGUGCUCAGCCCAGGCCCAGAGCCAUGGCUAUCUCCUCUUCCUCCUGCGAACUGCCCCUGGUGGCUGUGUGCCAGGUAACAUCGACGCCAGACAAGCAACAGAACUUUAAAACAUGUGCUGAGCUGGUUCGAGAGGCUGCCAGACUGGGUGCCUGCCUGGCUUUCCUGCCUGAGGCAUUUGACUUCAUUGCACGGGACCCUGCAGAGACGCUACACCUGUCUGAACCACUGGGUGGGAAACUUUUGGAAGAAUACACCCAGCUUGCCAGGGAAUGUGGACUCUGGCUGUCCUUGGGUGGUUUCCAUGAGCGUGGCCAAGACUGGGAGCAGACUCAGAAAAUCUACAAUUGUCACGUGCUGCUGAACAGCAAC